GACGAACGCUGGCGGCGUGCUUAACACAUGCAAGUCGAACGAAGAGCGAUGGAAGCUUGCUUCUAUCAAUCUUAGUGGCGAACGGGUGAGUAACGCGUAAUCAACCUGCCCUUCAGAGGGGGACAACAGUUGGAAACGACUGCUAAUACCGCAUACGAUCUAAUCUCGGCAUCGAGGAUAGAUGAAAGGUGGCCUCUACAUGUAAGCUAUCACUGAAGGAGGGGAUUGCGUCUGAUUAGCUAGUUGGAGGGGUAACGGCCCACCAAGGCGAUGAUCAGUAGCCGGUCUGAGAGGAUGGACGGCCACAUUGGGACCGAGACAAGGCCCAGACUCCUACGGGAGGCAGCAGUGGGGAAUCUUCCGAAAUGGACGAAAGUCUGACGGAGCAACGCCGCGUGAGCGAUGACGGCCUUCGGGUUGUAAAGCUCGGUUAAUCGGGACGAAAGGGCUUCUUGCGAAUAGGGAGAAGGAUUGACGGUACCGGAAUAGAAAGCCACGGCUAACUACGUG
rnacentral:rRNA from 1 species